GCUCAGGACGAACGCUGGCGGCGCGCCUAACACAUGCAAGUCGAACGAGAGAGAGGGAGCUUGCUUCCUCGAUCGAGUGGCGAACGGGUGAGUAACGCGUGAGGAACCUGCCUCAAAGAGGGGGACAACAGUUGGAAACGACUGCUAAUACCGCAUAAGCCCACGACCCGGCAUCGGGAAGAGGGAAAAGGAGCAAUCCGCUUUGAGAUGGCCUCGCGUCCGAUUAGCUAGUUGGUGAGGUAACGGCCCACCAAGGCGACGAUCGGUAGCCGGACUGAGAGGUUGAACGGCCACAUUGGGACUGAGACACGGCCCAGACUCCUACGGGAGGCAGCAGUA
rnacentral:rRNA from 1 species